CCCCUGGUGGUCUAGUGGUUAGGAUGCGGCGCUCUCAUCACCGCAGCCCAGGUUUGAUUCCUGGUCAGGGAA
rnacentral:tRNA from 1 species